AGACCUUGACACUCUAAGCGGCAGGAGGGUUAAAAAGGACGAAUUCUGAGGCCUUGUGUCCUCUGUGGCAAUCAGGCUGGCUACAGGUCUCCAGUCUGUAGUGAGAAGCUAGCCUCCAGCUCACCCACAGGUGGCUUCUGGUUCCUCUCCUUGGGACCCCACACAUGCCAGGCUUCUAAAUGAUCCCAGGAAGCUAGUGGCGAGUCUAAUCGCACCAGCCCUAUGUGUUUGUUACUGGAGGUGUGAAGGCCAACAUCUGGGUGAGGCCUGAAAGCCUGAAUGAACCCGGCUCAACCAUCUACCCUCAGCGAGUCCCUUGAAAGGUUUGUUCAAGGUGGUCACAUUGACAAGAGGGACAAAUAAACAGGCUGAGUGACACUUUCCACUAACUCCAUCUUGGAGAAUCUGACAUGAGCUUUAGAUUUAAACAGGGACAAGAGGCAGACAAAAGCAAGCAGCUUUGGUUAAGGUGUGGUCCUGCCUGACACUGACCACUGUCGCUGUCUUGCUAGGUGUUCUGACAGACGUCAGAACAGUGUGACAUCUCUUCCUGAGAGACAUGCUUUCUUUCUGGCUGGCAAGAGGAUUCCAGACUUCUCAAUCUCCUGGUUAGAGACAACAACUGCAAAUUCCAAUUCUUUGGAAUCCAUCGUCUUAGUUUGAUGCUGCGGGAAGAGCCAAGUGUCUCUUUAAAAUCUCAUCUUUUCUGCCAGCCUUCAUAUACUCUGCAACAGGCUGCACUAGAGCACGGGGAACGCCCAACUGUGGAAGGAGUCAUAGCCCGAGGCUUUUUAACACUGUAUGAUGGGAGUUUCUGUGCUUGAAGAUCUACAUGGCGUUUCUGAAAAGCAAAACCGAGCGAACAACUUGAUAAAACCUUUUUCCUGAUGUAAGGCA
rnacentral:lncRNA from 1 species